rnacentral:rRNA from 1 species
UAUUGCACAAUGGGGGAAACCCUGAUGCAGCGAAGCCGCGUGAGUGAAGAAGUAUUUCGGUGUGUAAGGCUCUAUCAGCAGGGAAGAANAGGACGGUACCUGAAUAAGAAGCCCCGGCUAACUACGUGCCAGCAGCCGCGGUAAUACGUAGGGGGCAAGCGUUAUCCGGAUUUACUGGGUGUAAAGGGAGCGUAGACGGCAGCACAAGUCUGGAGUGAAAUGCCGGGGCUUAACCCCGGAACUGCUUUGGAAACUGUGCAGCUAGAGUGCAGGAGAGGUACGUGGAAUUCCUAGUGUAGCGGUGAAAUGCGUAGAUAUUAGGAGGAACACCAGUGGCGAAGGCGGCUUACUGGACUGUAACUGACGUUGAGGCUCGAAAGCGUGGGGAGCAAACAGG